rnacentral:rRNA from 1 species
GAUGAACGCUAGCGGGGAGGGCCUAACACAUGCAAGUCGAACGGGAUCCAUGAGCAGUCGUGGUGAGAGUGGCGCACGGGUGAGUAACGCGUAUGCAACCUACCUUAACUGAGGGAUAGCCCAUAGAAAUGUGGAUUAAUACCUCAUAGUUUUGCCGGGUCGCAUGAUUUGGCAAAUAAAGCUUUGGCGGUUAAAGAUGGGCAUGCGUGACAUUAGCUAGUUGGUAAGGUAACGGCUUACCAAGGCUACGAUGUCUAGGGGUUCUGAGAGGAUGAUCCCCCACACUGGUACUGAGACACGGACCAGACUCCUACGGGAGGCAGCAGUGAGGAAUAUUGGUCAAUGGGCGCAAGCCUGAAACCAGCCAUCCCGCGUGCAGGAUGACGGCCCUAUGGGUUGUAAACUGCUUUUGUACACCAAGAAAACAGGACGUGUCCCUGGUCUGACGGUAGUGUAUGAAUAAAGCAUCGGCUAACUCCGUGCCAGCCGCCG